rnacentral:rRNA from 1 species
CCUACGGGAGGCAGCAGUGGGGAAUUUUGGACAAUGGGCGAAAGCCUGAUCCAGCCAUUCCGCGUGCAGGAUGAAGGCCCUCGGGUUGUAAACUGCUUUUGUACAGAACGAAAAGGUUUCUAUUAAUACUAGGAGCUCAUGACGGUACUGUAAGAAUAAGCACCGGCUAACUACGUGCCAGCAGCCGCGGUAAUACGUAGGGUGCAAGCGUUAAUCGGAAUUACUGGGCGUAAAGCGUGCGCAGGCGGUUAUAUAAGUCAGAUGUGAAAUCCCCGGGCUCAACCUGGGAACUGCAUUUGAGACUGUAUAGCUAGAGUACGGUAGAGGGGGAUGGAAUUCCGCGUGUAGCAGUGAAAUGCGUAGAUAUGCGGAGGAACACCGAUGGCGAAGGCAAUCCCCUGGACCUGUACUGACGCUCAUGUCCGAAAGCGUGGGGAGCAAACAGGAUUAGAUACCCUGGUAGUCCACGCCCUAAACGAUGUCAACUGGUUGUUGGGUCUUAACUGACUCAGUAACGAAGCUAACGCGUGAAGUUGACCGCCUGGGGAGUACGGCCGCAAGGUUGAAACUCAAAUGAAUUGACGG